rnacentral:misc_RNA from 1 species
UCCCCGUUAUCCUGGGCAGUCCUUCCAGAGUUCCCGGCCGAACCGAUGGCAACUGAAGAUGGGGGUUGCGCUCGUUGCGGGACUUAACCCAACAUCUCACGACACGAGCUGACGACAGCCAUGCACCACCUGUACACCGACCACAAGGGGGGCACUAUCUCUAAUGCUUUCCGGUGUAUGUCAAGCCUUGGUAAGGUUCUUCGCGUUGCGUCGAAUUAAGCCACAUGCUCCGCCGCUUGUGCGGGCCCCCGUCAAUUCCUUUGAGUUUCAGCCUUGCGGCCGUACUCCCCAGGCGGGGCACUUACUGCGUUAGCGACGGCACCGGGAGGGUCGCUCCCCCCGACGCCUAGUGCCCAUCGUUUACGGCGUGGACUAC